rnacentral:rRNA from 1 species
UACGUAGGCAGCAAGCGUUGUUCGGAGUUACUGGGCGUAAAGGGUGCGUAGGCGGUUGCUUAAGUUUGGUGUGAAAUCUCCCGGCUCAACUGGGAGGGUGCGCCGAAUACUGAGUGACUAGAGUGCGGGAGAGGAAAGUGGAAUUCCUGGUGUAGCGGUGAAAUGCGUAGAUAUCAGGAGGAACACCGGUGGUGAGAGGCUUCUGGCCGUAACUGACUCUGAGAACGAAAGCGUGGGGUAGCAAACAGG